UAUUGUAAAACAUAUAGAAGUAGUGUGAGGUUCUGUUCGGGUGAAGUUUGUUCUCAACCUGUAGUCAGUAAUGGUGUAACAGUGUUGAGCGAACCUGAUAUGCCACAUAUAGAUAUACUCCACAAACAGAUGCAAAGUUCCCAGUUAGAUGUUAGCUUGACUUACAAGAAGAGUAAUACCGAAGAUAGAGUGUGUUCUGUGGAGUCUACCAUAGAUCAAUAUAUGUGGAGUAUAACAGAUAAUAAACACAAUAGUCAUUUAUUUACUAAAUGGAGCAAAGUAAACAAUGUGCAGAAAAUCAGUGAGACAAUGAUUCAGUUUAGCAUUAAUUUAGACGGUGAAGUUGAUUUUAGUGAAUGUAGAAGAUUGGCUGUAAGAAUAUUUAAUAAAGCUGGUUUAUCAACAAUAAUAUCGUCGGAUAUUAAAAACUGUUCAGCUGUAGAUCCAGUAUUAAUUAUACCGGCUAUUGUUGUAGAUGCUAUAGGACAGCCAUUAAAUAACGGUGAGUACUUUUUGAUGUAACUUGGAAUUGAAAUAAAAGCGCGCA